GCCUGGGUGGCUCAGUGGUUGAGCAUCUGCCUUCAGCUCAGGGUGUGAUCCCAGAGUCCUGGGAUCAAGUCCCACAUCGGGCU
rfam:Canis lupus familiaris chromosome 26, whole genome shotgun sequence.